rnacentral:tRNA from 2 species
GGGGCCUUAGCUCAGUUGGUAGAGCGCUUGCUUUGCAAGCAAGAUGUCAGGAGUUCGAAUCUCCUAGGCUCCACAA